CAAUGAUGUGAUGAUAAACUUGUCGGAAAUAUAAUGUCGACUAAAAAAUCAGACUACAAUUAUCUGAUCAUCU